UACGGAGGGUGCAAGCGUUAUCCGGAUUCACUGGGUUUAAAGGGUGCGUAGGUGGGCAGGUAAGUCAGUGGUGAAAUCUCCGGGCUUAACCCGGAAACUGCCAUUGAUACUAUUUGUCUUGAAUACCGUGGAGGUCAGCGGAAUAUGUCAUGUAGCGGUGAAAUGCUUAGAUAUGACAUAGAACACCAAUUGCGAAGGCAGCUGGCUACACAAAUAUUGACACUGAGGCACGAAAGCGUGGGGAUCAAACAGG
rnacentral:rRNA from 1 species